rnacentral:rRNA from 1 species
UUAGGAAUUUUGCGCAAUGGGGGAAACCCUGACGCAGCCACUCCGCGUGCGGGAUGAAGGCCUUCGGGUCGUAAACCGCUUUUCUCAAGGAAGACAACCGACGGUACUUGGGGAAUAAGCAACGGCUAACUACGUGCCAGCAGCCGCGGUAAUACGUAGGUUGCGAGCGUUGUCCGGAUUUAUUGGGCGUAAAGCGCACGCAGGCGGUCUUGCAAGUCCACGGUGAAAGCUCCCGGCCCAACUGGGAGAGGCCCGCGGAAACUGCAGGACUUGAAGGCGGGAGAGGCAAAUGGAAUUUCCGGUGUAGCGGUAAAAUGCGUAGAUACCGGAAGGAACACCAGUGGCGAAAGCGAUUUGCUGGCCCGCCCUUGACGCUCAUGUGCGAAAGCUAGGGGAGCGACCGGGAUUAGAUACCCCUGUAGUCC